GUGGUUUAACCACUAGUGCCGCAGCUAACGCAUUAAGUAUACCGCCUGGGGAGUACGCCCGCAAGGGUGAAACUCAAAGAAAUUGACGGGGGCCCGCACAAGCGGUGGAGCAUGUGGUUUAAUUCGAUGAUACGCGAAGAACCUUACCUGGGCUUGAACUGUGCUUGAUCGGUGUAGAGAUACACCUUCCUUCGGGCAGGUACAGAGGUGCUGCAUGGUUGUCGUCAGCUCGUGUCGUGAGAUGUUGGGUUAAGUCCCGCAACGAGCGCAACCCCCACUCCUUGUUGCUACCAGGUAAUGCUGGGCACUCUAGGGGAACUGCCGGUGAUAAACCGGAGGAAGGUGGGGACGACGUCAAAUCAUCACGGCCCUUAUGUCCAGGGCUACACACGUGCUACAAUGGUCGGUACAAAGAGUUGCAAUACCGCGAGGUGGAGCUAAUCUCAAAAAACCGAUCUCAGUUCGGAUUGUAGUCUGCAGCUCGACUGCAUGAAGCUGGAAUCGCUAGUAAUCGUGGAUCAGCACGCCACGGUGAAUACGUUCCCGGGCCUUGUACACACCGCCCGUCACACCACCCGAGUCGGCAGCACCCAAAGUAGCUGGUCUAACCCGCAAGGGAGGAAGGUUAUCAAGGUGAAGCUGGUGAGGGGGGUGAAGUCGUAACAAGGUAGCCGUAGAAU
rnacentral:rRNA from 1 species